rnacentral:rRNA from 1 species
GAUGAACGCUGGCGGUAUGCUUAACACAUGCAAGUCGAACGGACUCUUCGGAGUUAGUGGCGGACGGGUGUGUAACGCGUGAGAAUCUGGCUUUGGGUUCGGGACAACCACUGGAAACGGUGGCUAAUACCGGAUGUGCCGAGAGGUAAAAGAGAAAUUGCCUGAAGAUGAGCUCGCGUCUGUUUAGCUAGUUGGUGAGGUAAAGGCUCACCAAGGCAGCGAUCAGUAGCUGGUCUGAGAGGAUGACCAGCCACACUGGGACUGAGACACGGCCCAGACUCCUACGGGAGGCAGCAGUGGGGAAUUUUCCGCAAUGGGCGAAAGCCUGACGGAGCAAUACCGCGUGAGGGAAGAAGGCUCUUGGGUUGUAAACCUCUUUUCUUAGGGAAGAACAAAAUGACGGUACCUAAGGAAUCAGCAUCGGCUAACUCCGUG